rnacentral:rRNA from 1 species
GACGAACGCUGGCGGAAUGCUUUACACAUGCAAGUCGAGCGGCAGCGCGGGGCAACCUGGCGGCGAGCGGCGAACGGGUGAGUAAUGCAUCGGAACAUGUCCAUGUCGUGGGGGAUAGCCCGGCGAAAGCCGGAUUAAUACCGCAUAAGCCCGGGAGGGGAAAGCCGGGGACCGCAAGGCCUGGCGCGAUUGGGUUGGCCGAUGUCCGAUUAGCUAGUUGGCGGGGUAAUGGCCCACCAAGGCGAUGAUCGGUAGCUGGUCUGAGAGGAUGAUCAGCCACACUGGGACUGAGACACGGCCCAGACUCCUACGGGAGGCAGCAGUGGGGAAUUUUGGACAAUGGGGGAAACCCUGAUCCAGCCAUUCCGCGUGAGUGAAGAAGGCCUGGUUGUAA